rnacentral:rRNA from 1 species
UACGUAGGUGGCAAGCGUUGUCCGGAAUUAUUGGGCGUAAAGCGCGCGCAGGCGGUCCUUUAAGUCUGAUGUGAAAUCUUGCGGCUCAACCGCAAGCGGUCAUUGGAAACUGGGGGACUUGAGUACAGAAGAGGAAAGUGGAAUUCCACGUGUAGCGGUGAAAUGCGUAGAGAUGUGGAGGAACACCAGUGGCGAAGGCGACUUUCUGGUCUGUAACUGACGCUGAGGCGCGAAAGCGUGGGGAGCAAACAGG